rnacentral:rRNA from 1 species
AUAAAGAUACCUCUUAAGAAUAAAAUAUUUGCACGGUAUCUUCGUCGCGGAGUCAUUCUGACUAAAGAUAACCUUAUCAAGAGGAAAUGGCAUGGAAGUCCGCAAUGUAUUUUUUGUCAUCACAAUGAGACAAUAAAACAUUUAUUCUUCCAAUGCAAAUUGGCUCGAUCUAUAUGGUCAGUCAUCCAGAUAACUUCUGGCUUGUAUCUUCUUUGUAGUGUUGCUAAUGUAUUUGGCAACUGGUUAUAUGAGAUUGAUCAUAGGUGUAGAACUCUUCUUAGGAUGGGAGCGCUUGCUGUUAUUUGGUCGCUUUGGCUAUGUAGGAAUGAUAAGGGUUUUAACGAUAAAAGUACUUCUUUAAUACAGAUUAUCUACACAUGUACCGGGACUCUUUGUUUAUGGUUCUCUCUACAACGCGUGGAGAAUCAAGACCUAUUUUUGGAGAUGUGUACACGAUUAGAGGAUGCGGCGAGGGAUACUUUUACCCAACAUGGAUGGCAGCAUGAUCUUAGGAUUGACCCACCUUCACUUUAG